rnacentral:rRNA from 1 species
UACGUAGGCAGCGAGCGUUGUUCGGAGUUACUGGGCGUAAAGAGUGCGUAGGCGGUUUUCUAAGUUUGGUGUGAAAUCUCCCGGCUUAACUGGGAGGGUGCGCCGAAGACUGGAAGGCUUGAGUAUGGGAGAGGUAAGCGGAAUUCCUGGUGUAGCGGUGAAAUGCGUAAAUAUCAGGAGGAACACCUGCGGUGUAGACGGCUUACUGGACCAUAACUGACGCUGAGGCACGAAAGCGUGGGGAGCGAACAGG